GUCGCCGAUAAGCGCUGGUGUAGUUUUUAUAGCUAAAAAUAUAAUUUAUCAUGAAAAUGGAAAAGUGGAAUGGAAAAGUUGCUGUAGUAACGGGUGCUUCUUCUGGGAUAGGAGAGAAGACUUGUCGACUACUGGUUGAAAAGGGAAUGAUUGUUGGUUUUGCUAGAAGAGAAGAUAAACUUAAGCAAAUACAAAUAAUUGGAAGCAAAUGUUCGAUACUAAUGUCAUAAGUCUUAACAUUUGUAGCAGAGAAGCCAUACAAAUCACGGAGAAAACAGAAAUCAAAGAGGGCCCCAUAAUAAAUAUUAACAGAUUUUAGCCAUUUUAGAUUGAUAGUAUCAGUCCGGGUGCAAUAGAAACCGAAAUGACUCACGAAAUGUCACAAUUAAAAAAAAUGAAUAUACUGAAAUCUAUUGACAUCGCUGAAGCUAUUAUGUAUGCUUUAGAUGCACCACAGCGUGUUAACGUCGCUGAGAUCAUCAUCAGACCAACAAACGAGAAUUCAUUAGGUUUUAUCUAGAGCUUCACAUAAAUAUGGAUUAUGAUUGAUAAACAACUAUACACGUUUCAAGUUUAAGUAAUACACGUAGUAUGUAUUUCAUUGUUUAAAA